rnacentral:rRNA from 1 species
GACAGAGGGUGCAAACGUUGUUCGGAAUUACUGGGCGUAAAGCGCGUGUAGGUGGCGAGGCAAGUCGGGUGUGAAAGCCCCGGGCUCAACCCGGGAAGUGCACUCGAAACUGGGAGGCUAGAGUAUCGGAGAGGUUGGUGGAAUUCUCGGUGUAGAGGUGAAAUUCGUAGAUAUCGAGAGGAACACCGGUGGCGAAGGCGGCCAACUGGACGAAUACUGACGCUGAGACUCGAAAGCGUGGGGAGCAAACAGG